UACGAAGGGGGCUAGCGUUGCUCGGAAUCACUGGGCGUAAAGCGCACGUAGGCGGGUUGCCAAGUCGGGGGUGAAAUCCUGGAGCUCAACUCCAGAACUGCCUUCGAUACUGGCGAUCUUGGAGUCCGGGAGAGGUGAGUGGAACUGCGAGUGUAGAGGUGAAAUUCGUAGAUAUUCGGAAGAACACCAGCGGCGAAGGCGACUCACUGGACAAGUAUUGACGCUGAGGUGCGAAAGCGUGGGGAGCAAACAGG
rnacentral:rRNA from 1 species